rnacentral:rRNA from 1 species
CCUANGGGUGGCAGCAGUAAGGAAUAUUGGACAAUGGACGGAAGUCUGAUCCAGCCAUGCCGCGUGAAGGAAGAAUGCGCUCAGCGUUGUAAACUUCUUUUGGAUGGGAAUAAUAACCUCGACGUGUUCGGGGCUUGAAGGUACCAUCAGAAUAAGCACCGGCUAACUCCGUGCCAGCAGCCGCGGUAAUACGGAGGGUGCAAGCGUUNUCCGGAAUCACUGGGUUUAAAGGGUGCGUAGGCGGUUAGAUAAGUCAGUUGUGAAAUUCUCCGGCUUAACCGGAUGGACUGCGAAUGAUACUGUUUAACUUGAAUCAGGUUGAGGUAGGCGGAAUGUGGCAUGUAGCGGUGAAAUGCAUAGAUAUGCCAUAGAACACCGAUUGCGAAGGCAGCUUGCUGGACCUGUAUUGACGCUGAGGCACGAAAGCGUGGGGAGCAAACAGGAUUAGAUACCCCGNUAGUC